GGUGCGGUAGUUCAGUAGGUUAGAAUAUCGGCUUGUCACGCCGAGGGUCACGGGUUCGAGCCCCGUCCGCACCG
rnacentral:tRNA from 1 species